CGUAACGCGUAUACAAUCUACCUAUUACUGAGGUAUAGCCCGAAGAAAUUUGGAUUAAGACCUCAUAGUAUUAUAGAAUCGCAUGAUUUUAUAAUUAAAGGUUACGGUAAUAGAUGAGUAUGCGUCCUAUUAGCUAGAUGGUAAGGUAAAGGCUUACCAUGGCUACGAUAGGUAGGGGUCCUGAGAGGGAGAUCCCCCACACUGGUACUGAGAC
rnacentral:rRNA from 12 species